UACAGAGGGUGCAAGCGUUGUUCGGAAUUAUUGGGCGUAAAGGGCGCGUAGGCGGUGCGGUAAGUCACCUGUGAAACCUCUGGGCUUAACUCAGAGCCUGCAGGCGAAACUGCCGUGCUUGAGUGUGGGAGAGGUGCGUGGAAUUCCCGGUGUAGCGGUGAAAUGCGUAGAUAUUGGGAGGAACACCAGUGGCGAAGGCGGCUCGCUGGACCGGUUCUGACGCUGAUGCGCGAAAGCGUGGGGAGCAAACGGG
rnacentral:rRNA from 1 species